rnacentral:rRNA from 1 species
CCUACGGGAGACAGCAGUAGGGAAUCUUCCACAAUGGGCGAAAGCCUGAUGGAGCAACGCCGCGUGGGUGAAGAAGGUCUUCGGAUCGUAAAACCCUGUUGUUAGAGAAGAAAGUGCGUGAGAGUAACUGUUCACGUUUCGACGGUAUCUAACCAGAAAGCAAAGGCUAAAUACGUGCCAGCAGCCGCGGUAAUACGUAGGUGGCAAGCGUUAUCCGGAUUUAGUGGGCGUAAAGGGAACGCAGGCGGUCUUUUAAGUCUGAUGUGAAAGCCUUCGGCUUAACCGGAGUAGUGCAUUGGAAACUGGGAGACUUGAGUGCAGAAGAGGAGAGUGGAACUCCAUGUGUAGCGGUGAAAUGCGUAGAUAUAUGGAAGAACACCAGUGGCGAACGCGGCUCUCUGGUCUGUAACUGACGCUGAGGUUCGAAAGCGUGGGUAGCAAACAGGAUUAGAUACCCCUGUAGUC